rnacentral:ribozyme from 1 species
GACCAACUACUCCGCGGGGCUGCACUCAACGCGGUGCUUUGCGCCGAGGCCCGGC